rnacentral:sRNA from 1 species
GGAAUGGCCUCAUUUCCAAGGAUGAGUUCAUCAGGAUGCUGAGAUCCUUCAUCGAGAUCUCCAACAACUGCCUGUCCAAGGCCCAGCUGGCUGAGGUGGUGGAGUCCAUGUUCCGGGAGUCGGGAUUCCAGGACAAGGAGGAGCUGACAUGGGAGGAUUUUCACUUCAUGCUGCGGGACCACAACAGCGAGCUCCGCUUCACGCAGCUCUGUGUCAAAGGGGUGGAGGUGCCUGAAGUCAUCAAGGACCUUUGCCGGCGAGCCUCCUACAUCAGCCAGGAGAUGAUCUGUCCCUCUCCCAGAGUGAGUGCCCGCUGUUCCCGCAGCGACAUCGAGACUGAGUUGACACCUCAGAGACUGCAGUGCCCCAUGGACACAGACCCUCCCCAGGAGAUUCGGCGGAGGUUUGGCAAGAAGGUAACGUCAUUCCAGCCCUUGCUGUUCACUGAGGCGCACCGAGAGAAGUUCCAACGCAGCCGUCUCCACCAGACGGUGCAACAGUUCAAGCGCUUCAUUGAGAACUACCGGCGCCACAUCGGCUGCGUGGCCGUGUUCUACGCCAUCGCUGGGGGGCUUUUCCUGGAGAGGGCCUACUACUACGCCUUUGCCGCACACCACACGGGCAUCACGGACACCACCCGCGUGGGAAUCAUCCUGUCGCGGGGCACGGCAGCCAGCAUCUCCUUCAUGUUCUCCUACAUCCUGCUCACCAUGUGCCGCAACCUCAUCACCUUCCUGCGAGAAACCUUCCUCAACCGCUACGUACCCUUCGACGCCGCCGUGGACUUCCAUCGCCUCAUUGCCUCCACCGCCAUCGUCCUCACAGGCAGGGCCUGGGUGUCCCGGGGAGGCUCUCCAGGGCCUCCCGCCCCCGCUGACUUCCCCGCCUAUGAAAGCCUCCCUCUCUGUUGGCACUUACCUUUAACGUCCUUCUCCAUAAGGAUGGAGUUGGCCUGGGCCAGGGUGUGAAGUAAGCCCGGGAGCCUGUCACUGGUCACUGCCAAGUGCCUCUUCCCACACUUUCCAGGGCACCUCACCAGCCUCAGCUGACAAGUUACUAACACCCCAGAAUGAGUGUGCAUACUGUGUCAUUUCUCCCAAUUUUUAUGUUUUAAAGCAUGACUCUGAGAGAAAGCAAAGGAGUGAACUUCUAAUGCUGUAAUUUCAGACUCACAUGGUUGUGUGCAUGGAUGGUGUGUCUGUGGGGUGUUGGGUAGGGCCAGGAGAUUGUUUAGAGGUCAGAAGUCCAGGCCGGCGCGGCGGCUUAUGCCCCUAAUCCCAGCACUUUGGGAAGCUGAGGCGGGCGGAUCACUCAAGGUCAGGAGUUCCAGACCAGCCUGGCCAACAUGGUGAAACACCAUCUCUACUAAAAAUACAAAAAUCAGCUGGGUGUGGUGGCACAUGCCGGUAAUCCCAGCUACUCAGGAGGCUGAGGCAGAAUUGCUUGAACCUGGGAGGCAGAGGUUGCAGUGAGCCGAGAUCGUGCCACUGCCCUCCAGCCUGGGUGACAGAGUGAGACUCCAUCUAAAAAAAAA